CAGUAGGGUGCCAUCAAGAGGUGUA
rnacentral:rRNA from 1 species